GGCCGCUUGGUCUAGUAGUAUGAUUCCUGUUUUGGGAGUAAUCAAUUGAUUACGUAAGCAUACAGGAGGUCGCGAGUUCAAUUCUCGCAGCGGCCC
rnacentral:tRNA from 1 species